rnacentral:rRNA from 1 species
GAAACGGUUGCUAAUACCGGAUAUGCAUCANGNNNNCAUGGUCUGUGGUNNNNNNNAUUUUUCGGUUGGGGAUGGGCUCGCGGCCUAUCAGCUUGUUGGUGAGGUAGUGGCUCACCAAGGCGUCGACGGGUAGCCGGCCUGAGAGGGUGACCGGCCACACUGGGACUGAGACACGGCCCAGACUCCUACGGGAGGCAGCAGUGGGGAAUAUUGCACAAUGGGCGGAAGCCUGAUGCAGCAACGCCGCGUGAGGGAUGACGGCCUUCGGGUUGUAAACCUCUUUUAGCAGGGAAGAAGCGUAAGUGACGGUACCUGCAGAAAAAGCGCCGGCUAACUACGUGCCAGCAGCCGCGGUAAUACGUAGGGCGCAAGCGUUAUCCGGAAUUAUUGGGCGUAAAGAGCUCGUAGGCGGUUUGUCGCGUCUGCUGUGAAAACCCGAGGCUCAACCUCGGGCCUGCAGUGGGUACGGGCAGACUAGAGUGCGGUAGGGGAGAUUGGAAUUCCUGGUGUAGCGGUGGAAUGCGCAGAUAUCAGGAGGAACACCGAUGGCGAAGGCAGAUCUCUGGGCCGUUACUGACGCUGAGGAGCGAAAGGGUGGGGAGCAAACAGGCUUAGAUACCCUGGUAGUCCACCCCGUAAACGUUGGGAACUAGU